AGAGUUUGAUCCUGGCUCAGGAUGAACGCUGGCGGCGUGCUUAACACAUGCAAGUCGAACGAACCUUCGGGUUAGUGGCGGACGGGUGAGUAACGCGUGAGAAUCUGCCCUCAGGAGGGGGAUAACAGUUGGAAACGACUGCUAAUACCCCAUAUGCCGAGAGGUGAAAUGAAUUUCGCCUGGGGAUGAGCUCGCGUCUAAUUAGCUUGUUGGUGGGGUAAUAGCCUACCAAGGCUUCGAUCAGUAGCUGGUCUGAGAGGACGAUCAGCCACACUGGGACUGAGACACGGCCCAGACUCCUACGGGAGGCAGCAGUGGGGAAUUUUCCGCAAUGGGCGAAAGCCUGACGGAGCAACGCCGCGUGAGGGAUGGAGGCCUUUGGGCUGUAAACCUCUUUUCUCAAGGAAGAAGAUCUGACGGUACUUGAGGAAUAAGCCACGGCUAAUUCCGUGCCAGCAGCCGCGGUAAUACGGGAGUGGCAAGCGUUAUCCGGAAUUAUUGGGCGUAAAGCGUCCGCAGGCGGCCGUUUAAGUCUGUUGUUAAAUCGUGGAGCUCAACUCCAUCACGGCAAUGGAAACUGUUCGGCUUGAGUAUGGUAGGGGCAGAGGGAAUUUCCGGUGUAGCGGUGAAAUGCGUAGAUAUCGGGAAGAACACCAGUGGCGAAAGCGCUCUGCUGGGCCAUUACUGACGCUCAUGGACGAAAGCCAGGGGAGCGAAAGGGAUUAGAUACCCCUGUAGUCCUGGCCGUAAACGAUGAACACUAGAUGUUGGGGGAAUCGACCCCCUCGGUGUCGUAGCUAACGCGUUAAGUGUUCCGCCUGGGGAGUACGCACGCAAGUGUGAAACUCAAAGGAAUUGACGGGGGCCCGCACAAGCGGUGGAGUAUGUGGUUUAAUUCGAUGCAACGCGAAGAACCUUACCAAGGCUUGACAUCCUGCGAAUCUCUAAGAAAUUAGAGAGUGCCUUCGGGAACGCAGUGACAGGUGGUGCAUGGCUGUCGUCAGCUCGUGUCGUGAGAUGUUGGGUUAAGUCCCGCAACGAGCGCAACCCACGUUUUUAGUUGCCAGCAUUCAGUUGGGCACUCUAGAAAGACUGCCGGUGACAAACCGGAGGAAGGUGUGGACGACGUCAAGUCAUCAUGCCCCUUACGCCUUGGGCUACACACGUACUACAAUGCUGCGGACAAAGAGUAGCGAUCUUGCGAAAGUUAGCUAAUCUCAUAAACCGUGGCUCAGUUCAGAUCGUAGGCUGCAACUCGCCUACGUGAAGGAGGAAUCGCUAGUAAUCGCAGGUCAGCAUACUGCGGUGAAUCCGUUCCCGGGCCUUGUACACACCGCCCGUCACACCAUGGAAGUUGGCCAUGCCCGAAGUCGUUACUCUAACCUUUUGGAAGAGGGCGCCGAAGGCAGGGCUAAUGACUGGGGUGAAGUCGUAACAAGGUAACC
rnacentral:rRNA from 1 species